UACGAAGGGUGCAAGCGUUACUCGGAAUUACUGGGCGUAAAGCGUGCGUAGGUGGUUCGUUAAGUCUGUCGUGAAAGCCCCGGGCUCAACCUGGGAAUGGCGAUGGAUACUGGCGGGCUAGAGUGCGGUAGAGGAGAGUGGAAUUCCCGGUGUAGCAGUGAAAUGCGUAGAGAUCGGGAGGAACAUCAGUUGCGAAGGCGGCUCUCUGGACCAGCACUGACACUGAGGCGCGAAAGCGUGGGGAGCAAACAGG
rnacentral:rRNA from 1 species